GGGGAUAUAGCUCAGUUGGUAGAGUGCUUGCCUAAGCACUGGGCCCUGGGUUCAAUCCCCAGUACCACCA
rnacentral:tRNA from 1 species